rnacentral:rRNA from 1 species
AGGAAAUAGAUACCCAGGUAGUCCACGCCCUAAACGAUGCAUAUUUGGUGUGGGCAGUUCAUUCUGUCCGUGCCGGAGCUAACGCGUUAAAUAUGCCGCCUGGGGAGUACAGUCGCAAGGCUGAAACUCAAAGGAAUUGACGGGGGCCCGGCACAAGCGGUGGAGCAUGUGGUUCAAUUCGACGCAACGCGAAGAACCUUACCUGGGCUCGAACGGCUGAUCAACGGCGGUGGAAACAUCGCUACCCCGCAAGGGGGUUUCAGUCGAGGUGCUGCAUGGCUGUCGUCAGCUCGUGUCGUGAGAUGUUGGGUUAAACGUCCCGCAACGAGCGCAACCCUUGUCCUGUGUUGCCAUACCGAAAGGUGGAACUCGCAGGAGACCGCCAGGGAUAACCUGGAGGAAGGUGGGGAUGACGUCAAGUCCUCAUGGCCUUUAUGUCCAGGGCUACACACGUGCUACAAUGGACGGUACAAAGCGCAGCGAACUCGCGAGAGGGAGCCAAUCGCAAAAAACCC